GAUGAACGCUAGCUCCAGGCUUAACACAUGCAAGUCGAGGGACCGGCGCACGGGUGAGUAACACGUAUCCAACCUGCCCUUUACUCGGUGAUAGCCUUUCGAAAGAAAGAUUAAUACCCGAUAUAAAGGAUGGGGAUUCGUUCCAUUAGGUUGUUGGUGAGGGAACGUCUCACCAAGCCUUCGAUGGAUAGUGGUUCUGAGAGUAAGGUCCCCCACAUUGGAACUGAGAUACGGUCCAAACUCCUAAGGAAGGAAGAAGUGAGGAAUAUUGGUCAAUGGGCGCUGGCCUGAACCAGCCAAGUAGCGUGAAGGAUGAAGGAUUUUGGGUCGUAAACGGCUUUUAUAUAAGAAAAUGUAUUAUAUGAAUAAGGAUCGGCUAACUCCGUGCCAGCAGCCGCGGUAAUAC
rnacentral:rRNA from 1 species